CACGGACCAAGGAGUCUAGCAUGUGCGCGAGUCAUUGGGAACAACUAAACCUAAAGGCGCAAUGAAAGUGAAGGUUCGUCUAGCGCGGACCGAGGGAAGAUGGGCGUGCGCGUUCGCGCGCCGCUCCGCACUCCCGGGGCGUCUCAUUCUCAUUGCGAGAAGAGGCGCACCAAGAGCGUACACGCUGGGACCCGAAAGAUGGUGAACUAUGCCUGGUCAGGACGAAGUCAGGGGAAACCCUGAUGGAGGUCCGUAGCGAUUCUGACGUGCAAAUCGAUCGUCGGAACUGGGUAUAGGGGCGAAAGACUAAUCGAACCAUCUAGUAGCUGGUUCCCUCCGAAGUUUCCCUCAGGAUAGCUGGCGCUCGUCGCCUACGAGUCUCAUCCGGUAAAGCGAAUGAUUAGAGGCAUUGGGGUCGAAACGGCCUCAACCUAUUCUCAAACUUUAAAUGGGUGAGAUCUCCGGCUUGCUCGAACUUAUGAAGCCGCGAGACACGGAUCAGAGUGCCAAGUGGGCCAUUUUUGGUAAGCAGAACUGGCGCUGUGGGAUGAACCAAACGCCGAGUUAAAGCGCCUAAAUCGACGCUUAUGGGAUACCAUGAAAGGCGUUGGUAACUUAAGACAGCAGGACGGUGGCCAUGGAAGUCGGAAUCCGCUAAG
rnacentral:rRNA from 1 species